rnacentral:rRNA from 1 species
CCUACGGGGUGCUGCAGUGGGGGAUAUUGCACAAUGGGGGAAACCCUGAUGCAGCGACGCCGCGUGAGUGAAGAAGUAUUUCGGUAUGUAAAGCUCUAUCAGCAGGGAAGAAAAUGACAGUACCUGACCAAGAAGCCCCGUCUAACUACGUGCCAGCAGCCGCGGUAAUACGUAGGGAGCAAGCGUUAUCCGGCUUUACCGGGCGUUAAGGGAGCGUAGACGGUUAUGUGAGUCUAGAGUGAAAGCCCGGAGCCCAAACCCGGGAGUGCAUUGGAAACUGGGUAACUUGAGUAAAGGAGGGGUAGGCGGAAUGCGUGGUGUAGCGGUGAAAUGCGUAGAUAUCAGGAGGAACACCGGCGGCGAAGGCAGCAUACUGGAGUUAAACUGACGUUGAGGCACGAAAGCGUGGGGAGCGAACAGGAUUAGAUACCCGUGUAGUC